GUUUACAAAUAGGUCCUCAGAUUUUUUUUUUUUUGAACAAAUCCCCCAAAUCUUAUAAAUAAGUUCUCAGAUUCAUACUUUGGCUCUUUUAUCAAAUUUUAAAUAGAUACUUACAUUACAAGUAGAAACUUAUACGAAAAUUCAGAAAUGAGGGAUGUUACACUCUCCCCUCGUUAAAAGAAAAAUUUAGUCCUCUAAAUUUAUCAUACCUCUAUCGAUGAAAAGAUGAGGAUAAACCUUUUUCAUUUCCUCCUCUAGCUCCCUGGUUAUUUCCUCUCCAGAAUGAUGUCUCCAAAUUACUUGAAAUUUUGGCUUCAAUUCCUUUUCUACUU
rnacentral:lncRNA from 1 species